UAAGGAAUAUUGGUCAAUGGACGAAAGUCUGAACCAGCCAUGCCGCGUGAAGGAUGAAGGCCCUCUGGGUUGUAAACUUCUUUUAUAGGGGACGAAAAAAGGGAAUUCCUUCCCACUUGACGGUACCCUAGGAAUAAGCACCGGCUAACUCCGUGCCAGCAGCCGCGGUAAUACGGAGGGUGCAAGCGUUAUCCGGAUUCACUGGGUUUAAAGGGUGCGUAGGUGGGCAGUUAAGUCAGUGGUGAAAUCUCCGGGCUUAACCCGGAAACUGCCAUUGAUACUAUCUGUCUUGAAUAUCCUGGAGGUGAGCGGAAUAUGUCAUGUAGCGGUGAAAUGCUUAGAUAUGACAUAGAACACCGAUUGCGAAGGCAGCUCGCUACGGGAUUAUUGACACUGAGGC
rnacentral:rRNA from 1 species